CGUUACAUUUGAUCUGUAAGAAUUCAAUUUUGAAUCAUUUUCAUUUCAAAUUGAUUCACACACAUAGCAGACGCCAACACAUCAAGCGUCAUCAAUAGCGUGGUCUAUGGUGCAAUGCUAUCGCUGGAGUAAGUUGUUUACCUUCAAUUCGGGUAGCGUCAUGAUCGCUGCUGAUUGCCUUUCAAAUAGGUUUUCAGCAUUCUGCUUACACCUUUGGCAUAGUCACAUAUUUCACAAUCCAACAUCAAUUGGUACCAACAGCAGCCCUUCUCUCCAUCAUCCAGAAGGGUCUGAGAUCAGUGUUGGAGAUGAUGGUUCGGAACAACCCAUGGAAAGCUUAUCACUCAUUGAUGCUGUGAUGCCUGAUGUUGUUGCAAGUCGUCAACAGCAAACACAGAGCAAUCAGAAAUCAAAGUGGUAAAGACAGAACCACCAAAUUCCAAUGGAGAUGAACCCAUGCAUUCCUAUCGCUGGGAAGAGGAAACAGGAGUAGAGAUACCUGCCAGCAAAUCAACUGUACUUCGUGGCCAUGAAUCUGAAGUUUUCAUCUGCGCCUGAACCCAACAACUGAUUUAUUGGCUUCUGGCUCUGGUGAUAGUACUGCCAGAAUUUUGAACAUGAAUGACAACUUGUCUUCACCAACUCAACUUGUUAUUAGGCAUUUAAUUCAGAAGGGUGGAACUGAAGUUCCGAGCAACAAAGAUGCCACCUCACUUUACUGUGUGAUGGAACUCUGCUUGCAACUGGCUCUUACGAUGAUUACGCUCGCAUUUGGACAACUGAUGGAAGAUUAGCUAGCACUUUGGGACAGCAUAAAGGACCUACUGUCGCACUAAAAUGGAACAAAAAUGGCAACUAUAUCCUUAGUGCUGGAUUCGACAAAACGACCAUUUGGGACGCUUCAACGAGUCAGUGCACGCAGCAGUUUGCUUUCCAUUCCGCCCCAGCACUCGACGUAGAUUGGCAGUCGAAUGUCAGUUUUGCCUCAUGCUCCACUGACCAGUGUAUUCAUGUUUGGAAGUAAAAUCUAGGUAGCCUACAAUCAAUGAAACUGCGGUGUGCUGAUUGCGGCUGAUUGUUUUAACUAUAAAGCAUAUGUUAUCAAGCGAUCAAUUCAGAUCAGGUGUAUUAUCAAUUUUACAUUUUCCUGGACGCAAAAUUUGUUGUUUUGCUUUAAAACUGGAUCGACAAUCAACAGUAUACAGCCUUGACGGGGGAUCAAUCAGCACAUGGAAAAAUAAGGGUUCAAAUUAUUUA